AAAAAAAAAAAAAAGAUAAGCAGGCUAAGAAAUCCACUUUAAGUAUUAAAAAUGUAAACAGUCACUAGGCUGAGUGAGUGUGGAGCGCUGUCUGGAGGUGGAUGAAGACAGAUAAUUCAAGUAGGCACUGUGCUGGGUGUGGAGAAGCAGGGUGGACACUGUAACUCAUGCUGAGUAAGUUUCAAGACAAAAAUACCUCAAAUGAUAAAAAGGAACCCAUAGAAUGCCACAUAAAAUUCCUUUCAUGGGAAAUAAAACAUUUCUAUGCAUUUAUGCACAUAAUGAAAAUCAAAGAGCCUCAGUAGAAAAAAUUAGAGCCAUAGUCGUGGGACAGACAUUACAAUAUUUCCAGAAAAUGAUGAAGUGAGAGAAUCUCUACCACAAACUUCUAAACAGAUUGGGAAACAACACAACUGACCCACUGGCAUAUAUGAAAUAAUCUGACCAGUAAUGACAGGGUUCAAAACAUGGGAAACAGAUUAUCACUAAUACCUGACCACAUACUAACUCUAAAAAUUUUAAAAGAACUGAUAGGAGAGGGAGGAACUAAGUGCAGAAUGGGAGAGGAGGAGAGAGAGUUGGUGAUGUCUUGUGUCUUAUCGCUAUUGAUUUUCCCCUAUCUUGCUAAAAUAUAGAGAAAUAAAGAUAUAAGAACAAGAGAGACUGAGAAUUGGUCUAUGAUUAAUGGGGAAGAAAAAGCAUUCUUUGCUCUUUUAACUUAAAAGAACAACAACAACAACAUCAAAAACCUCAAGUGUGGGCAUAGUGGGCCUUUAAUCCCAGGACCCUGGAGAUUGGGGCAGGCAGAGCUAUACAGUGAGACUCUUUCUCAAAAACAACAAUAAUUGAAAUAAUUUUAUUUUAAAUCAUCUUUUAACACUGAGUAUGAUGUAUUUUGGUUCUAGGCCUUUCUUUAAAAUGUAAAGGAAACUCCUUUUUGUUUGUAGACCUUUCCCUCACCCAUAUUGUCAAACACGAUUUUUAGGUCCUGUUGAGGCCAGAGGUUGACAGUGACUGUGUUCCUUGAUCUGUUCUCUAUUUAUUGAGGUAGGAUCUCUCUCUGAACUUGAGUUUGCCAAUCUGACUAGCUGGCAAGCCUGCCUUUGGGGAACCCCUGUCACCACGUCCUGAGUAAGGGUUAUAUAGGGUGAAGCAGGCCCAUCCACUGGUACGCACACUUGUAUAGUAAGCACUUCAGCAUCCCGGCUUGAUACCUAGUUUUUAAAAAUGGACAAAUGAUACCACAGGCAAGAUGCCUCAGUAAAGAAGAUAAAUAGCUGAGCCUGCAUUUCUCCAGAUAGGUUCAUGACAAAUGAUCAGUAUCAUCUGCUAACAGGAAAAUGAAAAUUAUUGCCAUUAUCACUAUAAAGCCUAAGUUGGCCUCAAGCAGGCAGGAAUCCUCUUGUCCCCACCUCCCAAGUACACCAGAGUGUCACACAACGAGCCAGGAUCAUACCUGUCAUCUCUGCAAUGAGGAGGUUAGAGCAGAAAGACCACAGGGUGGAAGUCAGUCUAUGCUAUGGGCGGAGUUAAAUCACAACAGGAUGCUCUAAAUAUCCAGCAGACUGGAUAAAAUCAGAAAGACUGGGUAAAUAUAGAACGGCAUACAGGAUGCUCAAAGUCAACUGACCCUGAACUUCUCAAACCAAACAUGACCCACCCACUGCACACUCUGCUUCUAAAUGCACCACUGAACUGUGGGCCAAAACAACCCCUUCCAUGCAGUGCUUUUUGUCAGGUGUUUGUCUCCCUGACAUCUUAAACCAACACAGGUGUAGCAUGACAGGCAGUUUGUCAAGACACUGGGCCACAGGGCAGCUCAGCACUCCCAUACCCUUCACUGCCCAAAGCAUAAAGGUCAGAAUCAUGGGAGCUAAACAUCCAGACCAAAAAUAUACCUUCCCAUGAGCAGCCCAUGGAGACUGCCAGCAGCAGAUGGCCAUGGAACAAAGCCCUAUGACCAUCUGGUACGAAUCUACCCAAUUAACCAGCUGGGUACUAAAGGCUCUGUCUAGGUGCGUGCUGACAGUCUUGAGCACAGCAGACUCCCAAGCAUGCCUUCUGGACACUGGUACAUGUCACCACGGCACUGAACUAACAAAGCAUGGGCAUCCUUCUUUGCUUCAUUCACAGGGAUAAGAGUGGUUGGUUUGUGUUUUUUUGUUUUUUAAAUCUUGUUUCUCAUGGUUUAUUUAUUGAUGGCAUAUUGGUGGGGGGGGGGUGCAUUAAACAGAAAUGGGAGUUUAAGGAAGAGUAUAUGAUUCACAUCUUACUUUAUAACGUAAGCAGAAAGAGCCCUUCUGUCUCUGCAGAGACUCAAAGGAAGAGCCAGAGCCUGGUCUGUCACGGCAGCUGAACACAAAGACGACAACAGGAAGGACCUAGUCACACAGUCACAGGAGCAGCCCAGGCUGCUUUACCAUUCUCAGUCUCCUCCCCCAGCCUCAGUGCUGACAUUAGAGAUACAGAGCACCAACCCAGGAAUCUAGUAUUAAUGACGGUCAACAGCAUCUCAGGAUACACCACCCAACAGGACCAAGAUAUCCAAACUCAACAAAGUCUUUGUAUUUGCCAGCAAAGAGUUACCACUGCCCUGGCUAAGAGGAGGACAGAGCAGCAAAUACUGAGACAAGGCUGGCUUCUGGUAGUAGUAAUGAAUCCAAAGUUUGCAUAAGCAAGGGAAGGCUUAUCUCAGGUUGUACCCCUAAAUAACAAAUGGAAUGUGGAGCUGAAAUCUACACUUUUAUUCACUCAACUAUUCCAAGAUAAACAUCUUUAAAAAUUAAAACUUACAUGCAAUAAGCUUUACAUUAAAUGCUGAAAACAGUCUCUUGGCCCAGAAUCUAAAGAUCCUCCCUUUCUUCCUUACCUCGAAUUUCAAAGAAAAGAAAACUGAAAAACUGCCUCUGUGAACACGACACGGAUCUCUCCUGCAUCCUCCACGGACCAAGCACUGCCUUACGCCAGCCCUGUCCUUGAGAGAAACUCACCAAAGACCUUCUCAUGAGACUCCUGUGGCGUUCUUGCUGCUUCCCCAGACUCAGGCCUGCUGGUGAGUUUCAGUUUCUUCUGGAUUGAACUUCCCUUGCUGAUUUGCGUUUGGUGUUUGCUAGUGGACUGGACUAAGAACAACAAAGACUGGAAUUGCCCCAAAGAGCCCAAAGAACCAUUAUUAAACAGGUCUACUUCCCCCAUGUCCUAAAAACCUUUCCUUUCCAUUACCUAAAAAUAUAUGCCUACAAUGGUACGACUUUUUUUUUAAAUUAUUAAUGAGGAGGCUAGAGAAAUGACCCAGUGGUUAAGAGCAUUUGCUGUGGAAGUUCAUAACCACCUAUAAUUCUAGUUCCAGAGACUAUAGUGCCCUUAUUUGCCUCCAUGUCAGACACAGGCCUACAUGCAGGCAAAAUACCAUACACAUAAAAUUAAACUAAAAAGUGUAAUUGAAUCCUAGCACAUUAAAAGGCAGUAUCUUUUCCUAGGAAGUAAAUGCAAAGCCCCACGUAUAGGCAAAGUUCCUUGGUGACUUUAGGCUUCUUCAGGCCCAGGCAAGCACAGGACUAGGAGCUGAAAGAAGUAGGGUACACUAAGAAAAGUAUUUCUACCACACACUAUUAUUCAAAUACUUGUUCAAAAAGCAAGAGUGCUACCAUCUUAUACCACAACCCUUUCUAGUCCAAAGGACAGUGCAUAUAAUGAAAGCCUGUCUGUGGGGCAGCAGACUACAAGAGGGUAGGAGACUCAAGUCUGAGGCCAGUCAGGACCCAUGCUAACAAAGGUUAUGCUGAGAGAUUGGCGGGCUGGUUUGUCAGCAUUUACAGUUAGCUCAGCAUCCAGGCUUGAUGUCUUCUUUCCUUAGAACACACCACAAAACAACCAAAGAGCACGGGGGGCAGGGAGGGAGAGACAGAGACAGAGACAGAAAGCAAAAGCUGGGGACACUGCUGAGAAAGGAGCCCAGACCCAGGAGUAUACCUGCAGAAGUCAGGUGAUGGGCAUAAACAGACAUUCCUUAAUUGUUAAAUAUGCAUUGGUAUUUUGUCUGGUUGAAUGGCUGUGUGAGGGUGCCACAUCUUACAGGCAGUAAGUUACAGGCUGUUGUGAGCUGGUUACUGGAAUUGAACUCAGGACCUCUGGAAGAGCAGUCAUUGCUCUUAACCACUGAGCCAUCUCUCCAACCCCAGACAUUCUUUAAUAGAGAGCUAUUCACCUUUUAUCUGCCAUAUCUGCCAACAAAGAUCACAUUUACCAAAAAAACAAAAAAAACAAAAAAAAAAAAAACAAAAAAAACAGGUUAUAACUGUCUUGAGUGUAUCCUUACUGGCUCUGGGAUGUUUGCACUGAGAGAGCCCUUUUAAGUUGCUAGUAGAAAUAUAAACUGGUAUGGCUGGUGCAGAAAACAAUGCAGAGAGGCAGCAGUACUCUCCUUUAAUCCCAGAAGACAGAUCUCUGUUAAGUGCAACACACCAACCUGGUUUAUAGAUGUAUACAGUGGGAACCUCGCCUUAAAAAAAAAAAUGUAUUUUUUACAGCCCUAUAGUUUAGCAAUUCUACUUUGUAGCAUUAUGAUGGUUAAUCUUGACUGUCAAGCUAAGUGGAUUGAGAAACAUCUCCAAGGUUAAACCCCUGGAUGUCUGAGAGGGCAUUUCCAGGAAAAUGCCUAUGGGCAUCACCAUUCCUCAGGCUUGGAGUUUGGAUGAAAUGAGCCACGGGGGGACGGGGGGAGAUGACUGGAUAGGUGGCUUAGUGGUUAGAGCACUUGCUGCUCUUCCAGAGGACCUGAGUUCCUGCUCUGCACCCAGGCCAGGUGGCUCAUGGCAUCUGUGAAGCCUGGUCAGGAGCUCUUGCGCCCUCUUCCGGCCACCCUGGCCAGCUGUACAGGUGGCAUAUGCUCAACACAAACACGGACACAGAAGGAAACAUAAAAUCUAAAAUUGAAGAAAAGCAAGGAAAAGGUAGAGCCCUAAAGUACAGACACUCUCUGCUUCCUAUCUAUCAUGUCUUUCCUAACACGCAUUUAGGGGGUGGGGAGAGAUCCCUGUCUGAAACUAUAAGCCAAAAAUAAAUUUUCCCAGAAAUUUGUCAGAUGGUUGUCAUAGCAAUGAAAAGCUAACAGAGGUAUAUACUCAAAAGAACUGAAAGCAAGGUCUCAAAAAGAGAUAUUUAAAAUCUCACAUUUCCAGCUCACAUUAAAUAAUUUCCAACCUCACAGAUGAGCAAACUGUGUAUGAUGUGUCCAACAAAGGACUAGUGUUCAUCCCUAAAAAUGAAGGGAGUGCGGCACGGUGGCCUGUCUCUUUAAUAUGCAGCACUGUGUAUGUUAAUAGUAUGCAGAGGAGAUCAUCUGGGCACAGAAGGGAGCCCCGCUCUGUGGUGCACCUCAAACCCACCCUUGUCUGAAUAGCACCAUGACUGCUCCUUUAUGAAAGUAACUUCCCUUGUUUUUCUUUUCCUUCCUUCCUCCCUCCCUCCCUCCCUCCCUCCCUCCCUCAGUCAUUGUUUACACAGACAUGGUCUCAUUAUAUAACCCAGACUGGCCUGAAAUUCAUGAUCCUACCUUUUUAGCUUUAUAAAUGCUAGGAUUUCUAGUGUAUAGUACCAUAAAUACCUGAAUCUCCUUUUUAAAAAUGUUAUCUUUUAUUUUCCACUUACAUUUUAUCUACCUUUCUUUUUAAAAAGCUAAGAGAGGAGCCGGGUGUGGUGGCACACGCCUUUAAUCCCAGCACUCGGGAGGCAGAGGCAGGUGGAUCUCUGAGUUCGAGGCCAGCCUGGUCUACAGAGGGAGUUCCAGGACAGCCAGGGCUAUACAGAGAAACCCUGUCUAAAAAAAAAAAAAAAAAGCUAAGAGAGAGCUGGAGAGAUGGCUCAGUGGUUAAGAGCAUUGACUGUUCUUCCAGAGGUCCCGAGUUCAAUUCCCAGCAACCACAUGGUGGCUCACAACCAUCUGCAGUAGGAUCUGAUGCCCUCUUCUGGUGUGUCUGAAGACAGCUAUAUUGUACUCAUAUACUUAAAAUAAAUAAAUAUUUAAAACAAGACAAAACAAAAACCUUAAAAAAAAAAAAAAGCUAAGAGAACAACAAAAAAGAGAUUAGUGAAUACUUCUAGAUACAACCAAAUCCAAGUCUUAUUCUUGGUGCUUUAAAGUGGCCCUAGAGGUGACCUGUAUCGCACUUGAUCCCAGGAAGGAUUUGCUGCUUUCAACAACAGAGAAACUGACAAGCCAAAGAAACGAUGAACCCAGGGUUACAGUAAAACUACACUUGUGUUGGCAGGUGCAGAUGGCAGAGUCCCACGGGAAACUCAGCAUCAGUCAUUUCUCACCUCUUUCCAGCACACAGUGGACAAGUCUCCCGCAGCACUCACAGAGUAUCCACAACUGUGGGCAUGUAUGUAUGACGAAAAAGCCAGAGGAAAGUAAGGUCCCCACAUCACCCUGCUGCUGGUCAUGCUUUGCUCAACUAGCACCAUCUAUCUAGACAUCCAAGCCAGUGGUCCAGUGUGCCUAACUUAAAACAGGUAUUCAGAAAGGGGAAACAAUACAAAAUCAAGCCUAACUUAUUUCUUUCUAUUUUCCACUAGGACAUGUACACGGGCAUUCCCUAAACUUCAUUCUCCUUAAGAGUGAGCAGCCUGCUCCAGGCUUCUCUGGUGGAAGGCCCACAGCAGAAAGUCAGCACUGUGAAGACAAAGCUGUACAAAGAAGGCUUCAGACACAAAAUGCUUUCUUUUCAUAAUCACUGAGAUUUCAACUGUGGUGAUCCAGGUAGUACUGCGUGUGCGCAGCAAACUGUAACAAGAAAUUGAAAGGUGCCGGCCAUGGCCCCGAGCAUAUGAAGACAGGGUGCUGUACUCCGGAUUAGACAACAUUAAACACUGCCUUCAUGUUUUUUGAAACCUAAGAUCCUGAAACAUAGUGUUUUUUAACUUAGUAAAGGUGAGACAACCUACUCCAAUGUAAAUACACGGACAUUAAGCCAAGUAUAAUGGAACAUGCUGUAGUUCUAGCUACUCGGAAGGCUGAGGCAGGAGAUCACUGGUAACCAGGGGAUAGGGGAUAGCUUAGGGAACCUAGUAAGACCCUGACUCAUAAAAGAAAAAUAAACAGAUAUUAUUAUGCAUGUUUUGAUGUUUUUCACAAACUGCUUUUCUGAAAUACUACAGAGAAUCAAACACAACACUCCAAAAACCAAUGUGUACAUAAGCAAAGGAGACACCUUUCUAGUACUGAAGAAUUCCCAUUUGAGUGGGCCACAGGCAGGUUUUAGAGGCAGCAUCCACCAAUCAUCAUGCCUCGCUUAUUUGGUAAGCAGUAUAUCACUGAUUAGCAAAUAAAGAACUGGUCACCAAUAGUCCAAAUCCUUUACUCACUAUAACAAUAGUGUAUUGCUGUGUGUGUAAGCAACUUUGCUCUGAUGUUUACACACCCAGUGUCUGCAUGCUGGUUGCGCACUACUUGUAGGACAGUCUUUAAGUCAGGACCAGAGCAUGCCAUCUGCAUGCCACACCCUGUCUUUAUUAUGAGAAUACACAUGCUGGAUGCAGACUGCUUAAGUAUCCUUUCUCAGCUGCAGUGAAGAACAGAUAAAUUUCCUAUAAUCACCAUUUUCCAUAUAACCAAUCACAGACACAAAGGGUAGAGAUUCCCAAUGACAUGGGAGUCUGCUUCCAGGGACCCAGAUGUAUAAUUCUUAGGCCGCAGAAUGAUGGUGGCCAUGUUGUGACCUCCAUACUCAUUCUGUCUGCUGCCUCAGUGUUGAUUGGUCAGGCAGGACUGGGGGACCUUUGACCUUAUUAGCCUUAAUACGUAGACUCCAGUUGCCCUUCUGAGAGUCAGCAGUACUACAAAACUAGGAAGUUGUUAUCUGGGUCAAUGACCAUUUCAUCAUUACAACUUUGUAACUAAGGGCUUGUGAUAAUACAUAUUACAUUGUUUUGAGUUCCACAGUUACAUCUUACAAAAAGAAACAAGUUGUAUUUUCUUUCAUUAUUUAAAAAAAAAAAGCAAUCUGGCACAGUUCACACAUCACUUGUACCUUCUUCCUUGUCGACUAAAAAGCAUACUCCAGGGAAGACAAACACUGGUACACCGAUUACCCAGACAUCACCACUCAAAAACACUGCUUCUAAAUUCAGGAUCAAAGGCUAUCAAGCCAGGUAAGUAAGGAUGACAGAGAAAAAGAUAAACACAUAACUAGGGGGUGGCCAUAUUAAAUCAAGAAGAGUUUAGUUUUGCAAAAACACCUUCAAAAUUGCCAUGGCUCUUCAAAUGGACAAAGAGUUUAUAUUUCGCAGGGAAAAGAUGGGCAUUCAGAGAGAAACAGCAAGACCUUCAGCCUGAGUCGUAUGAGAGCCAGCAGAAAGGAUGAGUCAAAAAAAAAAAAAAAAAAAAAAUCACAAUGAAGUGCACCAAAAGUUUUGUUAAACAAGAUCUAAUUCUUUACCCAAAUUAAGAGGUAAAUUAACAAAUGAGAGCUGAGGAAUUUCUGUUGUAGCAUUCUGAAAUGCCCAAUCCCUUGGUUCCCUACUAUAAUAACCACAAAGAAGACAAAUGCACAGCACACCUGUUUUUUCACACCAGAGUCACUCUGCUUGUCCCUGUGAACCUGCAUGUGCUACAGAGCCAGCUUAGCCUGGCUGUCUAAAAACAAACCAAAAAGCCGAGCCAGGUAAAAUACAGGAGGUACCAUUUGUGUUGGAGCCUAAAAUAUACUGUGACACAAUGAAUUGAACAAGUCGAAGCAUGAACGAAUCAGAAUCAAUACUUGAUAAACGCAGCCCAAAUCCAGUAAGAAAAUAUGACCACUAGGUUUUUUGUUUUUGUUUUUUAAAUUAUACAAGAACUUAAGGCAUGGCUCAGUGGUAGAGUCGUUGCCUAGUGUGGUGGUGAGCUCAGUGGUCCAGAGUUGUAAAUGAGUAGUGGGAGGGUGGUGAAAGGCUGGUGUUCCAGAGCACCUACUUCUUUCUCUUCCAGAGACCUAGACUCACUUCCUGCACCCACCUAGUACUUCAUUAGCUCUGCAGGGGGUAUGAUGUCCUCUCCUAACUUCCACUGGCUCCUGCACAUGCAUAUACUUGGGUGCACACAUAUACACAUAAAAUAGUUUUAAAAUAAUUUAUGAAUUCACCCUGAACCUUACUAUUAUACAUAAAUUUACUACUUGUGCUUAAAUGUCAGGAAACAGAUUUUGAGAUUUAUUGCUGCAAAGUUGUGGACAACUAAUAGUAAAUGGCGCAUUAGCUGACUAAUGUGUGUCUAGAACUCAGAGAAAGCAGCCCACAUUUUAUUAGCAGUCUAAAUGCAAGUGAACUCUCUAUGCAAAAUCUAAGUCUAAGUCACUAUUAUGUGCACCAAGCAUACUUACACAUAUUGCUCCUGUUAUUAUGUGUUGCCCCAAUCCAACCUUUAAAACCCCCCACACUCCCUUCACACAGGCAACCUUGGCAACCGGAUGGAGAUGGCUCUUUUACUAGCCCUCCAGCCUUUAUGGGCCACCAUUACAGGACCUGCCCUUCACCUGUCCCCUAUAACAGUGUCCAAUUGGCAGUUGAUUAUGGUCUGUUGGGUGACACGGGUAAAUCAGUAGAAACACCUCCCAGAGAAAGUAAGCUUAUGAGAAACAUCACUGUAAUCUUGGAAGAUUAUGCUCCAGUGUGGUUUAGGAACUCCCAUGGGCUAGAGAGAUGAUUUAGUCUAUAAAAUACCUACCAUGAUCCUCUGCUCAGAUCCCUAGCACCCAUACAAGAGCUGUGCCACUAGGCACAGUGGCAAGUUCCAGCAAUCCCAGCAUGGGGGAGACAGUACAGAGGGCUGGAAUGAUAUCUCAGUGGCUAAGAAUUGCUCUUUAAGAAUGAGGACCAGUAUUCAGAGAUCUCAUUUUUGAGGGGAGGGGAGGGGAGACAUGGCUCAGUGGUUAAGAGUGCACAGCACUCAUACGUAGGCUUCCCAUCCAGCAGCUCACAGCUAACCUGAACCCCAGCUCCAAGAGACUCAAAAACCUCUUCUAUCCUCCAUAGGCAACUAAGUUCACACAUAAACACAAGCAGGUAGCCACAAGGGUACAUGCAUAUAAUUUGAAAAAGAACUUUCUGAAACACAGAAUAUAUUUAAGAUGCUACUUAAACACUUAAUUACCAUGGAUCAUCAACACAGAGAAGGCAAGGAGUUAUUGUUUUAAAGUACUGUGCGCUCCCAAUGAGAUAUCAACUAAGAGGGUGGUGGUGACACACGGCUGUAAUCCCAGCACUAAGGAGGCAGAGGCAGGUGGAUCUCAGAGUUCCAGGACAGCCAGAACUACACAGAGAAACCUUGUUUAGGGUGGGAGUGCAGACAGGAACAGACACAAGACACACACAAAAGUCAACUUCUUGAAGAGUCACAGGGCCCUUUUGAGCUCCAUCCAGGAAGUCAGGUACUAGUUUGCCAACAAUUGCCUAUCUAUUCAGACUGACAGGUGGACACCCAGGACAAGAGAAGCACACUUUGGUCAUGGGUAGCAAAGUCAACAACACUAUGUUAGGCUUCAAACUUUAGCAUGAAAAUCGUAUUCCAAGAUAUUUUUCCCACUUAUUUGAAGAUACUAAGGGGGGGGGGAGGGGCGCGGACACACAGAGUCUGGAAGUGCAAACGUCUGUAAACGGAAAUUUAGUAUCAAAUGGUUUCAGAUGCUGCUGACAGGCCUUCUUCCUCAUGGAGUUAACAUGACCGUAAUCUGGCUAGUUGUAGAGGUAAAUUCUCUAAGUGGCUGAAAGAAGGGAAGUUACCAGAGAAGAAAAUAAUUUCUGGAGAAAAACAAAACAAUAUGUAAAUGAAUUUUGAAAUCCUAGGAUCCACUCACUUCCUUUUUACUUGAACAUGAAUAUCCUAACUGGACUUGAACUCAACUCAGAAUUCUCUUUUCAUUCUCCUAAGCAGCCAGCAUUAUAAGGCGGUAAGUACCACCACGUAUGACUUUCAGACUCCAUUCCACAGAACACACACUUAUGAUACCUGAGACACUUAACAUCAUGCACACAAAUGUAACUUGUACUACCUGCUUGAUACUUUCAUCCUAACUCAGACAAUUCAUGGAGGACCGAUGGCAGGGUUCCAACGUUACCAUAACCUUGAAUUAUUUACUGGGAUGGAAGUGAGGGGGAGAGAGCAGCUCUCAGAGCAGAAGCCUUUAGGAGCUCCCCAGGGAGCUGCCAAGCGGGAAGCAAGAGCUGCAUCGCUGCGCUCCUUAGAGAGGCCCUCGUCAGAAGUGCUUCCGGGACUAUCUCCACCUGCUUGCAUUUCUAUUUUGUUUGCCUUUACAACAAUGUCGUAGAUGUACUCCUAGACACCAGAGGCUCACAGGCACUGCUGGUGGUGCCCAUGCUAACAGGACAUGGAGAAAGGAUGAGAACGGGAACAGGCAGCAAUCAGAAGCACAGACUGAAACCAGCAGGUACCUUUUAGAACUACAGAAGUUCUCUCCUCCCUAAUCCAAGAACUUACUCCUGGUGCUAAAUUUGUGCUGAAAUCCGCUCCCACUGGGGUAUAGCUAUCCACAAAAUGCAAUCAAUGAGCUUUAACAGAGCGGCUCUGCAAGGUUAGCUUCCAGGGUGCCUAAGGCAGGGGUGUCAGACAACAAUUUCUGGAGAGCUCUCAGCCCAUGGAUGGAUCAUCUUCACUGCUACUAUGAACAGCCCCUUAAUCAACGGGGAAACUAUCCCCAGCACCUUCUUGUGCCAACGGAGACUGCGGGCUGAUUAACUGCUGGCUUCAGUCCUCCACUCUGACAAGCCAAGGUACCCCUGAAGGACUUCUUCCCUGCUGCCCUUGGGUAAGGUGGUACAGAACAAGGACAGUCAGAGAAGCCCUGUUUUCAUCUAGCAAAGAUAUCUCACCCACACGGAAACCAAAUACAGUGUAAACUAUGUGUUUUUGAAGGGACAGAGAAUCUAGCACCAAAAAUAACUGUUUCAGGGUCCUGCUGACAUUUAGAUCAGUGCAGCCAGUGCCACAACUUUCUCUGUGAAGUAAGGUAACCAUGCCUGAGCCCAGCAAUCUCAGUGACACUGUCCUGAGAAAGCGGGUGCAGCCUAGAAUUUCCAGGUGACCCUUGUAAACAAGCUGCCAAGAUCUGACUCCAUCUCAGUCUUAAUUCCAGUCUCUUCAAUCCCUGACUCAGCCCUUCUUCUGUUUGGAGGCCUUCAGACAUCUUAAAAUUCUCCACAGCAUAAAAUCUUUCUUCAGCAAAGUUCUCAAAGGUGAUUUCAUCUAACAAUAGCUAUGGAUUCCUUACACACUGGUAUGUCAAGCCCCAAACAUCUCAUUAUGUCAACAUAUGCAGGAUACUGCUACCCUGAACUAUAAAACUCUAAAUCCAGAUGGAAGGUCACUGCCAUGCACAAGUGCCAUGCACUGUGCACAGCCUACAUCACUGGACAAAACAAAUACCCAGGGAUGAGUCAGUGUAAAGUGCAUUCAAGGCACGCAUGCACACUCACGCACAAGGUUUAUACUUCCUUUUUUUAUUUCUAAAUUGAAAAGAAAAUAAAUUUACCA